rnacentral:lncRNA from 1 species
CCCAAAUAAGCAUUUUUCUUGGUUUUCGCACCAUAACUUUAGUAUAAGUAAAUAGAAAUGUAUGAAAUUUAAACACAAGGUUUAUGACCAUAAAAGGAAGGUUGGGAUUGAUUUUGGGAGUUUUGGUCCCAACAGUUUAGGAAUUAGGGGCCCAAAGGGUCUAAAAUUAAACUUUGUUUGAUUUCAUCAAAAAUUGAAUAAUUGGGGUUCUUU